rnacentral:rRNA from 1 species
GACGAACGCUGGCGGCGUGCUUAACACAUGCCAGUCGAACGGAAAGGCCCUGCUUUUGUGGGGUGCUCGAGUGGCGAACGGGUGAGUAACACGUGAGUAACCUGCCCUUGACUUUGGGAUAACUUCAGGAAACUGGGGCUAAUACCGGAUAGGAGCUCCUGCUGCAUGGUGGGGGUUGGAAAGUUUCGGCGGUUGGGGAUGGACGCGCGGCUUAUCAGCUUGUUGGUGGGGUAGUGGCUGACCAAGGCUUUGACGGGUAGCCGGCCUGAGAGGGUGACCGGCCACAUGGGGACUGAGAUAGGGCGCAGACUCGUACGGGAGGCAGCAGUGGGGAAUAUGGCACAAUGGGCGGAAGCCUGAGGCAGCAACGCCGCGUGCGGGAUGACGGCCUGCGGGUUGUAAACCGCUUUCGCCUGUGACGAAGCGGGAGUGACGGUAAUGGGUAAAGAAGCACCGGCUAACUACGUG